GACCAAAGAGGGGGACCUUCGGGCCUCUUGCCAUCAGAUGUGCCCAGAUGGGAUUAGCUGGUUGGUGAGGUAACGGCUCACCAAGGCGACGAUCCCUAGCUGGUCUGAGAGGAUGACCAGCCACACUGGAACUGAGACACGGUCCAGACUCCUACGGGAGGCAGCAGUGGGGAAUAUUGCACAAUGGGCGCAAGCCUGAUGCAGCCAUGCCGCGUGUAUGAAGAAGGCCUUCGGGUUGUAAAGUACUUUCAGCGGGGAGGAAGGUGUUGUGGUUAAUAACCGCAGCAAUUGACGUUACCCGCAGAAGAAGCACCGGCUAACUCCGUGCCAGCAGCCGCGGUAAUACGGAGGGUGCAAGCGUUAAUCGGAAUUACUGGGCGUAAAGCGCACGCAGGCGGUCUGUCAAGUCGGAUGUGAAAUCCCCGGGCUCAACCUGGGAACUGCAUUCGAAACUGGCAGGCUUGAGUCUUGUAGAGGGGGGUAGAAUUCCAGGUGUAGCGGUGAAAUGCGUAGAGAUCUGGAGGAAUACCGGUGGCGAAGGCGGCCCCCUGGACAAAGACUGACGCUCAGGUGCGAAAGCGUGGGGAGCAAACAGGAUUAGAUACCCUGGUAGUCCACGCCGUAAACGAUGUCUACUUGGAGGUUGUGCCCUUGAGGCGUGGCUUCCGGAGCUAACGCGUUAAGUAGACCGCCUGGGGAGUACGGCCGCAAGGUUAAAACUCAAAUGAAUUGACGGGGGCCCGCACAAGCGGUGGAGCAUGUGGUUUAAUUCGAUGCAACGCGAAGAACCUUACCUGGUCUUGACAUCCACGGAAGUUUUCAGAGAUGAGAAUGUGCCUUCGGGAACCGUGAGACAGGUGCUGCAUGGCUGUCGUCAGCUCGUGUUGUGAAAUGUUGGGUUAAGUCCCGCAACGAGCGCAACCC
rnacentral:rRNA from 1 species